rnacentral:lncRNA from 1 species
UUAAAUCACCCCGACAAACCGGGUAUUUUGGCUAAUUAAUUACCUUUUGGUUGCCAAAUUUUUUUUUUCUUUUUUUUUUGCUUUUGCCAAAAUAAAAUAAAUAAAUAUUGACCUCUUAUUUUAGCAGUGAGUGUUGUGUGGUGGCUCCAACCAAAAGCUGGAAAACGACAAAAGCUGAUGACUGUCCAUACUUAUCUGAUUUUUUAUUUUUUUUUGUUUUGGUGUUAUCAAACCAAUGCAGCCUCGCUUACGUGUCCAAUAUCAUUUGUACGUUACUCUCCCGGUGUUAACAUCUGGCAUUCGACUAACUAAGCAGGCCCAUUGGGCUGUAUUUGGCUGUGUUGUUGUCGCCUUGUUUGUUUAUAUCAUUAUUUCCUUCUUUAUUUGCCAACUCAAAUCUUAUCUGUUUCGUUUUGUAACACUAUUGAUUCGAAAUAGUUUGUUUCGUUUUGUAAAAUUUUUUGUCUUC